rnacentral:tRNA from 1 species
GGGGUUGUGGCUCAGUGGCAGAGUGCUUGCCUAGUGUGCAUGAAGCACUGGGUUCCAUCCUCAGCACCACA